rnacentral:lncRNA from 1 species
GACAUAUUUUAGAUAUCCCUUAGUUCUUUUAAUUUAACUAAGGAUGUCAGAUAAAGGAAUUUAAAAAGCAGCCAAAAUAAAUGAGGUGUAAAGGUCUAUAACAUACUAAGGGAAACAGAGUUUCAGCUAUGAGAGAAAAAGAGCAUUGUACUUCCCAGGGAGUGAGAUCUUGGCCAUGGCUGGAGGUCAGUUUAUGGCAGAAAUACCUGGUUGAUUUAGGAGGCUGAAGAGUUGUUUGUAAUUUAACAAGUUGUGCAUUUAUUGACAUGUAAAGAUAGCAUAAUUUUAUUUUAGUUAAAGCACAAAAAAAAUACCAAAUAAUACCAAAUUACAGCAAAAGCUGUAAUAAAUGUAAUAAGAUCUCCCUUUGGUUUGUUAGCAACCUUGUUACACCUGAAAAGUUGGUUUUGAAAAACUUUCACUUUAGAAGAUUUCUUUUAUCUGUAUGUGUAUAUGUUUAUAUUUUGUACAUAUACAUACCCAUUCAUGUUCCAUGACCCUGUAACAUUUGUGUUCUAUUCUUUUAAGUGAUAUGAUUUGGCCUCAAUGAAGAAACAUUUCAUUUAGUUCAAACUUUGCAUUCAGGGUCCUAGAACAGAUUUCCUGUGCAAGAUUUGGUUGAAAUGGAAUAAGUUUAGCAAACCUAAGUCAUAUUUUCUAAGAGAUUUUUGAUAUUCAUUUGCAUUAUUUAUUGGCAUAUAAUUUAAACUACUCUUCAGUUAUACAACAGCUGUUACAAAUAUAUCCCAGCAAUAUUCAUACUUUAUCCUUCAGCAGCCUUUUGUUUUAUACUUCCUAACUUAGAUUAAAAAAAAAGUCCUUCCAUCUAUGGAAAAGCUAGUUAGGGAGGAAAUACUUGUUUUCUAUAAUAAAACAAUUUGAUUGGUGCCAUCUUUGCCAGGUUGGAUUAAGAAAUACAAAGACAUAUCUGAAGGUUUGGGGAACUCUUCUCUAUGUCAUUAAUUUGAAAUCAUGUUACUAAAAAGCAAACUAAAAUGUAAAGUGAAAAGCUAACUUAGAAGUAAGAUUUUUAAAUAGAAAAAAUAUUUUGAGAAGCUAGGGGGAAAAUUGUUGUACUUUGAAAUCCUGACCUUUACCUCUACUCUCACCCUCCCGAUUACUCCUCUGUGCCUAUUUAAUAUAGAGUCAGGACUUUUGUGCUAGAAGAGACCCUAGAGAUAAUCUAGCUAGUCUCCCAACACCCACUCCCCCAUAUCCAUCCUCAGGAAACUGAGGCUCAAAAAGGUUGUAAAGUGAUCAAGGUCACGUAACUAAGAAGCAGAGCCAGAAUCAAACUCCUGUCUCCUUUCAAAUGCAUAUUAACACCCCACUGCCUCCCUUUACUUCUACUGUGGUAGGUGUGGUAUGUAACACACUCCAUUUAUGCAGUUUCUUUAUAGUUCUGCUCUAGUAGUUGGUGAAUACUGCACAUUAAGAGAAGCAUUAAAUCCAGAAAAAAUAUAGAGUAAUAAACAUGGAUGGGGAAGUGUUGGAAAUGUAGGUAUCUAUACCACAGAUGUAAGGAUAGAUAUAUUUUUCCUAUUCUAAUUUAUGCCUUACUAUUUUCUGCCACAUAACAGUUGGAUGCUGCCAUUUUAUAACUGAUUAUAUUCUGGGGAUUUAUUUAGAUGCAAAAAUAAAUCCAAUGUAAUGGCUUUGAUCAGUGUUUCUAGCUAUUUUAAAGUAAUUUUUGAAUCAGCCAACUUUCACAGUCACCUAGGUGGCAAGUUAAUUGUGUUGCACAAUGGAGUAUCACAAAGUAGAUUAAGUAAAUUUGAUUUCAUUAAUUUCUAAUGUCGAAAGAGAUUGAACCUUACUUGUGCUUAGAGCAGAUAGAUAAAAGCAAUAUUUCCUGAUGUGACUGAAAAAGGUUCAUAGUGUGAAACUUAUGAUUCCAUAAUGGAAUGGUGACCAUGAUGUCAUUGAAAGUGUAUAUACCAUAUAAAAUGUCUUAAACCCGGUAGUCUCAGCUAUGUAAGCUCAAUAUUUCCCACCUGUAUUCUCAAAUUCCACUUAGUAGCUUUAAAUUAAUUAUAAUUAUUUAUUAGACACUGGAAUACUGAGAAUAACUUCUUUCAGACUGUUUUGUUUGCACUAUUUUUGUGACUAUUUUAAUGAAGUGGGAUGUUUUUCCUACCUCACUUUGUGAGGUUUGUAUGGGUCCAUUUUUGAGUACUUUAGUUGUUGACAAUCAGUUGUCUCAGUUAAUUUUCUGCAUGUUCAUUUGUAAAUAAAAUAAUUAGUAUCUGUUUUUAGGGGAUAGUAGACUAUACAAACACUGGCAAGGAGGCUGUAUUUCUGAUCUUGGAUUACAAAAAAAACAUGAUUGGGUUAAGAAAAGCUGAAAUACUCAUUUUUUUUAAUGUAUAGACCAAUAAGAACUAAAGGAUUUACAUAAACUAUUAAAUAAUGAUUUUUUUUUGAAAACUUUAAAUGUAAUUGUAUGUUAACUGAUGUUCCAAACAGGUUCUAUGUAUUAUUUUUUUUGUAUCAGGUGGUAGUUAAAAAUUAGUGAAUGUCUUGGUCAGGUAUCUUGGAAAGAGAACAUUGGCUUUCUAACAAUUACUAAUGUAGAUUUUUGGGCUUUUUAAAGUUUUAUCAUCCCCACUGAUUUGAGAGAGAUGCUCAGUGCUCCGUAUGUUCUUUUAAAAUAUUUGUAAUAAGUUCAUCAACUGCUUAACAGUAAGUCUUUCUGAUUCUUAUUCUAAAAAUUUCUGUGGGCUUUAAUUCAGUUUAACUGGUUAAGUGAAACAGUUUUUAUGGUGCAAAGAUUAUUUUCCCACUAUUUUUCUCAUAAUAAUUUGGCUCUUCUGAGCUACAGUUUCUGAAGAGUUUUUACUACUUUAGCAUUAUAUAGUCUGAUCUCUAUCACAAUCGACAAGUAAACAGAAAAUAUCCCACUUUCCUGUGUUUGCUUCAUAAAAGGAUAUGGAAUGUAUAGAUCAGCUCUUUUUUUUUUUUUCUUAUCAGCAUCAACCUAUAACUUGGUAUAAACUUCUCAAGUAUUCAGAGAAGAGUGGUGGUAAAAAUUUAAAUAAGAUAGGCAUGAAGAAAAUAUGAUCGCUUUUGAUUGUGUCCUUUCAACCUAGGACUAGUGAAGACUUUCACUUUUUCAGAGCUGAAGAAAAAUACGCACAUUUAAGAUCAUAUUUAUUGGUGCAUGUAAGCCAUUAUCUUAAUUGUCUUACAGAACUGGUUAAUGCUGUUGAUUGUUGAAAUGUGAAAUGUAGUCACUGUUGACCUUGUAAAUAUCUGCCAGAGAUGAAAAAAUAUUUUAAGUUAUUGUAAAUAAAGAUGUAUAAAUUCAUUAUAAGUCUGCAAUGCAGAAACAUAUCUAAGAUGUUAAAUAUUGUGUUUCUUGAGAGAUGUGUAAUUUUUCCCUAGAUGUAUCUAGUUACAUUAAGAAUGUAAAUUUUCUUUUGUACAGUAUAAAAAUACAGCUUUAUUUGGCUUUUGA